rnacentral:rRNA from 1 species
UGGGGAAUUUUGGACAAUGGGCGCAAGCCUGAUCCAGCAAUGCCGCGUGCAGGAUGAAGGCCUUCGGGUUGUAAACUGCUUUUGUACGGAACGAAAAGGCUCUGGUUAAUACCUGGGGCUCAUGACGGUACCGUAAGAAUAAGCACCGGCUAACUACGUGCCAGCAGCCGCGGUAAUACGUAGGGUGCAAGCGUUAAUCGGAAUUACUGGGCGUAAAGCGUGCGCAGGCGGUUAUGUAAGACAGAUGUGAAAUCCCCGGGCUCAACCUGGGACCUGCAUUUGUAACUGCAUAGCUAGAGUACGGCAGAGGGGGAUGGAAUUCCGCGGGUAGCAGUGAAAUGCGUAGAUAUGCGGAGGAACACCGAUGGCGAAGGCAAUCCCCUGGGCCUGUACUGACGCUCAUGCACGAAAGCGUGGGGAGCAAAC